ACUUCAAUGCAAAAAUACUUCACUUGUGAUUAAUAUCAUUUAUAAUGCAUGCAAAAUCAUCAAAGAAUUACUCAACCAAGAAGCACGUAAUUACUCGGUAUCAAGACAAUUUAUCUAACGAUCGCACGUGUGAAGAUAAAUCUAAUUAAUUGUGUUUAUCAUUUUUUCAUCAAAGUCGAUAAUGAUUAUAAUUAGCAGACUGGUGACCAGACACCAUGACCUCUUGUCACUCAACGGAUCAUCUAAGUUUAACAUGGUCUCACUAUGAUGAUCUCUUAGAAAAUUGCAGAUAAACAAGCAGCAACUGGGAGCGAAGAAGCAGGAAAAACAAAAGAGUACAAGAGUUUACGACGCCGUUCACAUCCUUGUCACAUCUGAUUGGAUGAUAAGCAAUUAACUGCAAAUUGUGUACAAAAUCACGUAAAAUUUUGAUUUAAUAUUUAUUAUUUUCAACAAGUGGACAAAAUAGGAAGUAUAAAAAAAAGUAAUAAGUA